rnacentral:rRNA from 1 species
ACUCAAAGGAAUAGACGGGGACCCGCACAACCGGUGGAGCGUGUGGUUCAAUUCGAGACAAAACGAAGAACCUCACCAGGGCUUGACAUAAUACCGUUUAUUUCCCAAGAAACUGGGAGAAAUCCGCAAGGAUGGUAUUACAGGUGCUGCAUGGCUGUCGUCAGCUCGUGCCGUGAGGUGUUCCCUUAAGUGGGGAAACGAGCGCAACCCCCGUGUAAUGUUAAAUAUUCAUUGCAGACGGUCCCGAUUUUAUCGGGAAGGAAGGAGGGGAAGACGUCAAGUCAGCACGGCCCUUACGCCCUGGGCUACACACACACUACAAUGGCGAAUAACAACGAGUUGCAAGUACGCAAGUGCAAGCUAAUCUCUAAAAUUUCGCCUCAGUUCAGAUUGGGGUCUGCAACCCGACCCCAUGAAGUCGGAAUCGGUAGUAAUCGUGGAUCAGCAUGCCACGGUGAAUACGUUCUCGGGUCUUGUACACACCGCCCGU